GACAGUGCUCCUGAAGGUAGGAGUCUAUCAACUGAUGAAGAUGAUCAUCCAAAUGUCAUAGACCAAAUGGAGCAAACAGCACGCAGACCUAGUGGUGGGAGGAAAAAUCCUUAAAUAAGAGACACGGGGGAAUGAUUAAUGGACUUCAAUGUCUGUACACUAAUGCGCAAAGCAUGGGAAAUAAACAAGAUGAGCUUGCGCUCUUGGUACAGCAAACUAAAUAUGACAUAAUAGGCAUCACUGAAACCUGGUGGGAUAAGUCCCAUGAUUGGAAUGUAAUAAUGGGGGGAUACAAUCUAUUUCAGAGAAACAGACCAGACAAGAAAGGAGGAGGAGUGGCGUUAUAUGUCAGGGAUGUGUAUACCUGUGAAGAGAUCCAAGAUUUAGAACCUCAAAGCCAAAGUGAGAGCAUUUGGGUCAAAAUUAAGGGAGAGAAGAAUAACAGUGACCUCAUUGUGGGAGUUUACUAUAGAUCCCCAAGCCAAACGGAGGACAUAGAUGAUGCCUUCCUGGAACAGAUGGCCAAGCAUGCAAAAGGAAAGGAGAUAGUAGUAAUGGGGACUUCAAUUACCCGGAUAUUUGUUGGAUGUCAAACUCAGCCAAGAGCAUAAGGUCAAACAGAUUCCUCACUGGCCUUGCAGACAACUUCACUGUCCAGAAAGUGGGAGAAGCAACAAGAGGAACAGCCAUUUUAGAUCUGGUCCUAACCAAUGUUGAUGACCUGGUUAGUGGGGUAGAAGUGGAAGGAUCAUUAGGCGCGAGUGAUCAUGCUCUUCUGAAGUUUACUAUACAGCGGAAAGGAGCAGCCAAGCAUACUAGGACUCAAUUUCUUGACUUUAAGAAAGCCGACUUCAUAAAAGUUAGGGAAGUGCUGGGUGAGAUCCCAUGGACAGUAAUACUAAAAGGAAAGGGAGUUCAUGAUGGCUGGGAGUUUGUUAAGAGGGAGAUAGUAAAAGCACAACGUCAGGCAAUACCAAUGAGACGGAAACAUGGAAGGUGUCCAAAGAAGCCAGGGUGGUUAUCUAAAGAACAUUUAACUGAGUUAAGAUUAAAAAAGGAUGUGUAC